AUUGAACGCUGGCGGCAGGCCUAACACAUGCAAGUCGAGCGGAUGAAGGGAGCUUGCUCCUGGAUUCAGCGGCGGACGGGUGAGUAAUGCCUAGGAAUCUGCCUGGUAGUGGGGGAUAACGUCCGGAAACGGGCGCUAAUACCGCAUACGUCCUGAGGGAGAAAGUGGGGGAUCUUCGGACCUCACGCUAUCAGAUGAGCCUAGGUCGGAUUAGCUAGUUGGUGGGGUAAAGGCCUACCAAGGCGACGAUCCGUAACUGGUCUGAGAGGAUGAUCAGUCACACUGGAACUGAGACACGGUCCAGACUCCUACGGGAGGCAGCAGUGGGGAAUAUUGGACAAUGGGCGAAAGCCGGAUCCAGCCAUGCCGCGUGUGUGAAGAAGUUCUUCGGAUUGUAAAGCACUUUAAGUUGGGAGGAAGGGCAGUAAGUUAAUACCUUGCUGUUUUGACGUUACCAACAGAAUAAGCACCGGCUAACUUCGUG
rnacentral:rRNA from 1 species